rnacentral:rRNA from 1 species
GCUACGGGGGGCAGCAGUGGGGAAUAUUGGACAAUGGGGGGAACCCUGAUCCAGCCAUGCCGCGUGUGUGAAGAAGGCCCUCGGGUUGUAAAGCACUUUCAGUGAGGAAGAACGCCUGGUGGUUAAUACCCAUCAGGAAAGACAUCACUCACAGAAGAAGCACCGGCUAACUCCGUGCCAGCAGCCGCGGUAAUACGGAGGGUGCGAGCGUUAAUCGGAAUUACUGGGCGUAAAGCGCGCGUAGGUGGCUUGAUAAGCCGGUUGUGAAAGCCCCGGGCUCAACCUGGGAACGGCAUCCGGAACUGUCAAGCUAGAGUGCAGGAGAGGAAGGUAGAAUUCCCGGUGUAGCGGUGAAAUGCGUAGAGAUCGGGAGGAAUACCAGUGGCGAAGGCGGCCUUCUGGACUGACACUGACACUGAGGUGCGAAAGCGUGGGUAGCAAACAGGAUUAGAUACCCUAGUAGUC